GAACCUCCCCCCAAGUGGAAGAUAGCCAGCCGAAAGGUUGGGUAAUACUCCAUAGUCCCGAGAGGGUAAAGCCGUAAGGCGCUUGGGGACGGGCUCGCGUCCUAUCAGCUAGUUGGCGGGGUAACGGCCCACCAAGGCGAUGACGGGUAGCUGGUCUGAGAGGACGACCAGCCACACUGGAACUGAGACACGGUCCAGACACCUACGGGUGGCAGCAGUCGAGAAUCUUUCACAAUGGGCGAAAGCCUGAUGGAGCGACGCCGCGUGGAGGAUGAAGGUCUUCGGAUUGUAAACUCCUGUCGCCGCAGAGCAAAGCAGCGCAAGCUGCCUGAUAUUAUGCGGAGAGGAAGGGACGGCAAACUCUGUGCCAGCAGCCGCGGUAAUACAGAGGUCCCAAGCAUUGUUCGGAUUCACUGGGCGUAAAGGGUGUGUAGGAGGCAGGAGAAGUCUGGCGUGAAAUCCCGGCAUUCAAUGUCGGAAUUGCGCUGGAAACUGCCCUGCUCGAGUGCCGGAGAGGAGAACGGAAUUCCUGGUGUAGCAGUGAAAUGCGCAGAUAUCAGGAGGAACACCGAUGGCGAAAGCAGUUCUCUGGAAGGCCACUGACUCUGAAACACGAAGGCUAGGGGAGCA
rnacentral:rRNA from 1 species